ACAGCCCUGUAGUCAAAACUUCGUUCUCUCCUGAGUGGAUCCUGAGUACGGCGGAACACGUGAAAUUCCGUCGGAAUCCGGGAGGACCAUCUCCCAAGGCUAAAUACUCCCUAGUGACCGAUAGUGAACCAGUACCGUGAGGGAAAGGUGAAAAGCACCCCGGAAGGGGAGUGAAAGAGAUCCUGAAACCGUGUGCCUACAAGUAGUCAGAGCCCGUUAACGGGUGAUGGCGUGCCUUUUGUAGAAUGAACCGGCGAGUUACGAUCCCGUGCAAGGUUAAGCAGAAGAUGCGGAGCCGCAGCGAAAGCGAGUCUUAAUAGGGCGCAUGAGUACGUGGUCGUAGACCCGAAACCAGGUGAUCUACCCAUGUCCAGGGUGAAGUUCAGGUAACACUGAAUGGAGGCCCGAACCC
rnacentral:rRNA from 1 species